AGCGAACGUUAGCGGCAGGCCUAACACAUGCAAGUCGCACGAGAAUCCGGCUUCGGCCGGUAGUAAAGUGGCGGACGGGUGCGUAACACGUGGAUAAUCUGCCCUUCGGCGGGGGACAAC
rnacentral:rRNA from 1 species